AUGCGGUGGUGCCGAGGCACAGGGCUGGCAGGGCUGGCCGCGCUGCUGCUGGUGGCUGUGGGAAGAGCCCAGGUGCUGCAGGAGCCGUCAGCAGAGACCACCGAGGGCAUCGGCAUCAACAUCACUUGCUCACACCCCAACAUAAAGCCUUACGACUCCAUCCACUGGUACCGUCAGCUCCCGGGACGAGGCCCCGCACUGCUCCUGAGCACUCUCAAAGACUCCAAAGAGCUGCGGGACCCGCCGGGGCGGCUGUGGGUGUCGGCAGAGCGCCGCUCCAGCGCCCUGUGGCUCGCCCGGCCCCGGCGCGGGGACGCGGCGGUGUAUUACUGCGCACCAUAUCUCUAUGGUACUGCUUUGAAUCAGGUGUCCUAUUUCUCUUUUUCUGAUGCAGAAACAUCCCUGAGUUUAUGUGAUGAUCCUCUCUUCUCACACUUCUGGAGGGUGCCAUCCCUAGAGAAAGUGGCUGAUUGUGAUACCUGA